UGUGACAAAAAAAUCCGAUGCAUUAAUUUAAGAAAUUACAGAAGUGAAAUUGCAAACUUAUCAUCUUCAGAGCAGCAUCGCCAUGAGUAAUUGAGACACCAAAAGAAAUAGGGUGUUAAGUGCAUACCGUUAGAGCUGCGCAGCAUUAAAUACGAGACUAUCUAAUCUACAUUAUUUAUCAAAAGCCAAACAUAUCUGGGAAUAUAAUGGCAGCAAAUGCCUACGUGUAGGAUGGUACAUCAUUUUGUAACUGAAUAAUGAGGAAAAAAGUCAGAUUACUUAGAGUAUCAAAAAUAGUAACAUCUUCGGUCAUCAAGGAAUUUGUGAUAAGUGUCUCAAUUUCUGGAAAAAUGAUUCGAUUCUGCAACAAAUUCAAUGCAGCAAAUGAUUAUAUAUUUUCUGACAUUCUAUUGGCCCUUUCAUUUUAUAAAGAUAAAUGAUAAAAUUCAAGAGAGAUUUAUGUAAUCAUCGUUCGUUGUGAUAUGCAAUCCGAUUCGGCUUUAAAGAUACUGCAAGGAUAGACGGGAUUAAAAUUUAAUUUACAAAGACGGAAAUUCAGAUAGCGCAAGAAUUUAUGCUUCCAGAUAUUGCUAAACUUUCGUAAAAAGUUUGAAUAAAAUGCCAAUCACCAUAGUUCAACCUGACAAAGAAUUAUAUCAGAUUUCAAAACCGUAAAGACAUGUUGUUUCAAGUUCUUAGUUAAAGGACUAGAAUUUCAAUUUCAAUGACAUUUGACAUCUGCAUUUGUAUUACUUGAACACUACUACUACCAUAGUAUACUACGUACUACUAUACAUACACUGAUUUAUAGAUAAAUAUAACUGCAGGACUACUGCAAAAAUACAUUGUGGUGAAACGUUUAUUUCAAUUUCUUGUGGAAUUUUGCUACCAGGUUUUUUGACCGUUCGCCAAAAAUUGUUAUUCACAUAGAAAGGAGAAGGGGUGGAGCGAGCAGCGAAUAAUUAUUCUGCUAAAUAUAAAUUCCAGGCUUCUGAUAUUGCUCUUGCAUUUUUGCUUAGAAUUGCCUCAUUUUGUACACCAAGAUCGAACCUAACGCCCAUUCCGAUCUUGCGUACGAUCAUCUAAAAUCAAUGUUUGACUCAAGACUAUCUUUGAAUUCGAUAUUUCCGAGGUCACGGUCUAAGAUUAAACCUGACGUAUGACGUGCUGGUCGAAAUUGUUGAUGAAAUGGAAUGAUCAUAUCCCUGACAUGUAGAAGGUAAUAACAAAGUCACGUGGUAAGUAGAUGGGCGUCGUUUGUGGGAGGGAAAGGGAAGCUGACUGCAAAAAUACGAGGGAACGGAGGGGAGCGAAUCUAGUGGCCUACGUGACUGUCGGCACAGGACUUUGAAGAAAUUUGCGACAACUUUGGGUUGAUGUGAUUACCGAUACAGAUAGGAAAUUAUUUGGAUUAAUAAUUAAAUCGAAAGUAUCCCGAUGUACUAAAUAUUUAUUUUUAAAUCUCAGAAAAAAAUAGCUGCAUCAAACUUGAACCUGUUUGUUCUUGGACGGAAUGACGAUAAUCAAUUAACAAUAUUUGUUUCUGUAAUAGCAAUAAACUUAGUUGCUGUAC
rnacentral:lncRNA from 1 species